AUCUACCCUCAUGAUCUGGAGGGAGAAUCAGCCAACUAACGGUGCAAUAGAAUCUUGUGUGUUGGGUACAACGUUUGGAUGGGCUGAUUUUCGUUGUCCGGAAAAGAUGGCAUUUCUCUGUUCAGUUACCAUUACACAGAUAUUUAAGGUUGUACUGAAGUCACAUGGACCGCUGGACCUGAAUGAUCCCAGCGUGCAAGAAGCUCUUUUAGACCAAAUUGAGGAACGUAUGAAAGACCAUGGGAUCCAUCAGGCGUUUAGACUCAGAUGGAAGAAGAAGCAAAUAAAUUGAACAUUCUCUACAUUACUGUGAAUGCUGUCUGAUUUCCUUCUCCCGCAAACUACACAGUCUGUACUUAAACGAUGAAGUCUUU